AGAUGUGAGGGUGAUCUGGCUGUGACAUCAGUCACUCCAUUGAUUGUCAAAAUUAAUUUUACUAAUCUGGCUAACUAUGCCAUCGUCCCCUUACUCCCUCAUCACUAUGUAUGUCCUUCCUGAAGCUACAUGCUUGGUUGAACAGGAUGAACUUCUCCAAAAGAAGAUAACUGUUCUUCAGUCAAGAGUAUAUAAGUAACUAAAACCUCAAAACAAGCUCUCUUGAUGGCCAUUUUCCCAAAUUGAUCAAUAGAUUCAGUGUUUUUCCCAUCAAAAUCCCAGCAGGCAUUU
rnacentral:snRNA from 1 species